rnacentral:rRNA from 1 species
CCUACGGGAGGCAGCAGUGAGGAAUAUUGGUCAAUGGACGGAAGUCUGAACCAGCCAUGCCGCGUGCAGGAAGACGGCUCUAUGAGUUGUAAACUGCUUUUGUACAAGGGUAAACCUGAAUACGUGUAUUCAGCUGAAAGUACUGUACGAAUAAGGAUCGGCUAACUCCGUUCCAGCAGCCGCGGUAAUACGGUGGAGCCAAGCGUUAUCCGGAUUUAUUGGGGUUAAAGGGUUCGUAGGCGGAUUGAUAAGUUAAAGGUGAUAUGUCCGAGCUUAACUCGGGAACUGCCUCUAAUAAUGUGGAUCUAGAGAGUAGAUGCGGUAGGCGGAAUGUAAGGUGUAGCGGUGAAAUGCUUAGAGAUCAUACAGAACACCGAUUGCGAAGGCAGCUUACCAAUCUAUAUCUGACGUUGAGGCACGAAAGCGUGGGGAGCAAACAGGAUUAGAUACCCCAGUAGUC